rnacentral:lncRNA from 1 species
CUCUUCCCGCCAGCCCGCCUGGAGCACCAGCCUCGCGCGUCCGGAGGAACCUUGGCUUGGCGCCCCAUCCUGGUAGCCUCAAACUUCAUAGCACUUUGUGGUUUUUCUUAAAACUCUGAGCCUGUGCCCGGGCGGAUCACCUGAGGUCGGGAGUUCAAGACCAGACUGACCAACAUGGUGAAACCCCGUCUCUACUAAAAAUACAAAAUUAGCCCGGCGUGGUGGCGCAUGCCUGUGAUCCCAGCUACCUGGGAGGCUGAGGCAAGAGAAUCGCUUGAACCUGGGAGGUGUAGGUUGCAGUGAGCCGAGAUCAUGCCAUUGUACUCCAGCCUGGGCGACAGAGUGAGACUCCGUCUCAAAAACAAACAAGCAAACAAACAACUUUGGGCCUGUGCCGAAGGGUCUGGGCAGAUCUUCCAAAGAUGUACAAAAUGUAGAAAUUGCCCUCAAGCAAAUGCAAAGAUGCUCAACACCCUUAGUCAUCAAGGAAAUGCAAAUGGAAUCCACAGAGAGAUACUGCACACUGACAAAGAUGGUCGUAUUACUAAAGGUGAAUAACCAGCGCGGGGGGCACGUGGAGUCACUGGAACAUUUGUGCAAUGCUGGUGGGAAUGUCAACCCGUGCGGCCCUCUGGAAUAAGCCUGGCAGCUCCUCCAAGAGUUACCGUGUGACCCAGCAAUUCCACUCCUAGCUCCACCCACAGGAAUUGAAAGCAAAGACGCAAACAGAUGCCUGUGCACCAAAGUUCACGGCAGCAUCCUUCGCCAUAGUGGCAGCAUCCGUCGUCACAGCGGCAUCAUCCUUCAUCAUAGCGGCAGCAUCCGUCGUCACAGCGGCAGCAUCCUUCGCCACAGCGGCAGCAGCUGUCGUCACAGCGGCAUCAUCCUUCGCCAUAGCGGCAGCAUCCUUCGCCAAAGCGGCAGCAUCCUUCACCAUAGCGGCAGCAUCCUUCGCCAUAGCGGCAGCAUCCUUCGCCAUAGCGGCAAGGUGGAAACCCUGUCCAUCCACUGAGGCGUGCAUAGACUAAACAUGGCCAGUCCAGGCACUGGAAUCCAGGCCGUAGAACGGCGCCCACGGUCAAAAGGAAUGAGACCCUGAUGCACUGGGCGACACAGACGGGCGACACAGACUUGGAGACAUCAUGCUAAGUGAAAAGCCAGGCACACGGAGCGGACGGCGUGAUCCUGCUCACGUGAUGUGUCCCGAAUGGGCACGUCCAGAGGGAAGAAGGGAGAUGGCGCUGCCGGUGCCCGGGACGGGGGUUGGGAGCGACGGUUGCUGGUUUGGGGUUUCUUUCUGGGGUGAGGAAGUGUUUUGAUAUUGGCCGUUGGUGAUGUUUGCAUACCUCUGAAUAUGCUAAGACCCACAGAAUUGCACACUUUAAAUGGAUGAAUUGUAUGGUAUGGGAAUUACACAAUUAUGUCUCAUUAAAGCAGUUAUUUUAAAAAUCUAGUGCCCAGUAGCAACA